rnacentral:rRNA from 1 species
GACGAACGCUGGCGGCGUGCUUAACACAUGCAAGUCGAACGGAAAGGCCCUGCUUUUGUGGGGUGCUCGAGUGGCGAACGGGUGAGUAACACGUGAGUAACCUGCCCUUGACUUUGGGAUAACUUCAGGAAACUGGGGCUAAUACCGGAUAGGAGCUCCUGCUGCAUGGUGGGGGUUGGAAAGUUUCGGCGGUUGGGAUGGACUCGCGGCUUAUCAGCUUGUUGGUGGGGUAGUGGCUUACCAAGGCUUUGACGGGUAGCCGGCCUGAGAGGGUGACCGGCCACAUUGGGACUGAGAUACGGCCCAGACUCCUACGGGAGGCAGCAGUGGGGGAUAUUGCACAAUGGGCGGAAGCCUGAUGCAGCAACGCCGCGUGCGGGAUGACGGCCUUCGGGUUGUAAACCGCUUUCGCCUGUGACGAAGCGUGAGUGACGGUAAUGGGUAAAGAAGCACCGGCUAACUACGUG